UACGGGGGGGGCAAGCGUUGUUCGGAAUUACUGGGCGUAAAGGGCUCGUAGGCGGCCAACUAAGUCGGAUGUGAAAUCCCCAGGCUUAACCUGGGAACUGCAUCCGAUACUGGAUGGCUUGAAUCCGGGAGAGGGAUGCGGAAUUCCAGGUGUAGCGGUGAAAUGCGUAGAUAUCUGGAGGAACACCGGUGGCGAAGGCGGCAUCCUGGACCGGCAUUGACGCUGAGGCGCGAAAGCGUGGGGAGCAAACAGG
rnacentral:rRNA from 1 species